rnacentral:lncRNA from 1 species
GAAAAUGGCUGAUUUGCAAUGCAAGGCAAAGGUCUUCUAGAAAGGUUCUAGGCGCCAUUUUUGUAGGAAAGGAUUAGGUUUUCUAGAAAUCUGAUUUUAAGCAUCCUAAUAUAGCUAGGAAUCCUCCCAAGUAGCUGAAAUAUAGGUGGAUUAAGAUUAGGAUAAGAUAGGAUAGGAUUGGAUAGGAUAGGGUUUGGAUAAUGUUUUGGAUAAGGUGUCUUCACUUGAGCUGAUUCUUUGGCUUUAACUUCCCUUCUUCAAGUAGGAAACCUUGUUUAAGUAGGAAACUUCAAUCUUCUAGGAAUCCAACUUCACUUAGGAAUCAUUCUUCAACUAGGAAUCCUUCUUCAACUAGGAAUCCAUGCUUGACUAGGAUUUCAUCUUCAAUUAAGCACUUUCCCACUUCAAUUAGGAAACUUUGCAUCUUCAAGUCUUCAACUUUGAAACACAUUCCUAGCUCAUCAAUCCUUCAAAUUCGUCCAUUCUUUGUGCUCCACAUGCAUGAGCUCCAUUCUAGCUCAAUUUUGCUCCAAAAUGCUCCAAAUUGCAUCUUUUUGCUUACUUUGUCCUUAAAACCUGAAAACACAUGAAAAUAGCUUAAAAUACUAACUUAACUAAGAAAACACAACAUAAAUGCAUAAGAACUAACUAACUAAGGCGCAUAAAUAUGCUCCUAUCAUUAGGCUCAUCUUUUCGAUCUUGAGUGAAGAAAGCUGUUCUUCCAAUCUCUUGAUCUUAGAAUCAACCACUGCGAUCAUAUCUUCCAUCACUGAUCCUUCUUCCACCAACUAUUGAAGAGUGGCUGAGGUCUGCGUGUGUUUUUCUUGGAAGCAUCUAACUCUGUUGGAUGCCCGCUCUGCCUUCUGAUGCUGAUCCCUCAGUGCCCGCAGAUUCUCAAAGAAACUAAGAAAGGACUCGUAUUGAGCCUUUGACAGUAACUGUGCUUUGUAGAGCUCGGUGAGGGCCUUCACAGCGUCAUGAAGAAUUUUAAGACUAAAAGAGGCAGUGAAGUCCCUUUUCAUCCAAUCUUUGAAGAUUUGACGAGCAUUUCUGAGGAGAGGAGACUCGGAUGAAGGCGAAGGUGAAUGCAACUUGGUCUUGAUUUGCCUGAACUUCUUGACAAGCUCGGGCAAAGAUGUUGCUGAACAAGUAGAUGACAGAGGUGAGGGCACUUCUUUAACGCCUUCAGCAGUAGCAAAUGGGGUAUCCUCAGUUAGCUGAGAAGAAAGGAUAUCAGGAGCAUGAGCAGAAAUGGAAGUUGUAGCAGCAGUUUCGACUUUCUUCUUAGGCUUAAAGAUAGGGAUCGUUGUGACCCCAGAAGUUAGAGGAGGACGGGGAAGAUAUCUCUUAUGUACCAAGAGCAGUGGAGAUUUACUCGAACCUUCCUCAGAACCCUGUUGCAACCAAGGGAGAUAAGUUAAGAAAAGAGUUUAUAAUUCAAAAUAGAGGAAGGUGAGACAAGAGAAGUCAAUAUACCUGAGUUGACCUCAGAACCUUGGAAGGAGAUGCAGGAGAAGUUGUUUCUUUUAGAUGAAGGGAUAAUCCCCGAGCUCUCACCAGAGGCAUAUAAACAUAAAAAAAGACAAGUGUUAGGAAAAUAGUUUGCAGAAAAUAAAAAGCAAAAGUUUAAAUAAUAAAUAUACCUGAGGUUGAGAGAUGGGCACUUCGGAAGCAACAACUACAUUAGGAGAAGCUGACUGAGAAGCUUGUGGGCUAGUUGCCUUUGAGACCAUAGGGAUCUCAGGGACUACGGGCUCCCCAAAGGCAGAUGCUACUGGUUAAUGAGGUUUUGUGCUGGGGAAGGCUAAAAAAGAAAAAAAUGGCAAAAAAAGAUAAGUAUAGUAGAAGAAAGGAACUCUAAACAUAAAAAGGACAAGAUAAGUACUCACUGGAUUACUAUCAUCUUCUACAAAGUGUAACAUCUCCCUAGUUGACAGGUCAAACUGGGAAGUAGGAGUCACCACUAGGGGAUGAGAGGUUGAAGGAAUAAAAGAAAAACCUUGCCCUACCUGAGAAGCAGACUCUCCAACCUUAGCCUACAAAAGUAAAAUACAAGUGUUAAAGCUUUGACAUUGGUAAAGAUACAAGUCUAAGGAAUGAAAAAGAGAUAUACUUUUGAAGACUUAGCCCAAGGAGGGGAAGCUUAUACCAUUCGAGCUGGAGGUGAAAAGGCUUUAGGUGGAGAAAUCCUUUCUUCCCUUAUGGCCUGUUUUUCGUGAUCGGGCAGAAAGUUAAGAAAAGGAAGAAGUUAAAGGAAUAGGCUCGAGAAGCAAGCCAUACCUCUAGUGCUUCCAGGGUGGAAUCUUGCAGAUUUUUGGCCUGUUGAUACAUCUUGUCCCCCAGAGGAUCCUCUCUUGAGACAACAGUCGGCUUCUUGGUUGUUUAAGGACUUAGAUUAGAAGAAAAUGGAGUUUUUAGCUCUCAAUACGAAAAUGCAAGUAAGAAAGGAGGGUUGAAACAAGAUUCACUUACUGGAAGCCUUAUGUUUCUUCCUGCCCGCCUCAGUUAUUGAAGCGGAAGGCUGAGGGGCUUUGGAUGCCUGUGCCCUUAUUCUCUUCUUUGUUGGGACUGCCCGCGAACCAGGAAUGGAGAGUUGAGCUCAAGGUCGUUUUUCGGGCUCAGACUCUAAAGUCUCCACUAUCGUUGCCCAAGUCCUCCGAGUUGUCCGAGGCUCCACUACAAUCUCUACCUCACCCUCCGAGUCUCCAAGUAACUCGGAGACAUCUCUGCCCUCUCUAGCACCUUGCCCUUCUACCUUAGCUACGACUUCUUGGAGGAUGAAGACGUCUGCUGCAUCUUUAUCUUGCUCGACGACCAUCUCUGCAGGGUUGCCUUGGGCUGCAAGUACAAAGAAACCAAGGAAAUAAUUAGAGAUAACAUAUUCAUGAGAAUUUCAAGUUAAAGGAGUAAGAAAUACCUAUCAUAAGGAGUUG